GACGAACGCUGGCGGCGUGCCUAAUACAUGCAAGUCGAACGCAUUUUCUUUCACCGUAGCUUGCUACACCGACAGAAAAUGAGUGGCGAACGGGUGAGUAACACGUGGGUAACCUGCCCAUCAGCGGGGGAUAACACUUGGAAACAGGUGCUAAUACCGCAUAAUUCCAUUUACCGCAUGGUAGAUGGAUGAAAGGCGCUUUUGCGUCACUGAUGGAUGGACCCGCGGUGCAUUAGCUAGUUGGUGGGGUAACGGCCUACCAAGGCUGCGAUGCAUAGCCGACCUGAGAGGGUGAUCGGCCACACUGGGACUGAGACACGGCCCAGACUCCUACGGGAGGCAGCAGUAGGGAAUCUUCGGCAAUAGACGCAAGUCUGACCGAGCAACGCCGCGUGAGUGAAGAAGGUUUUCGGAUCGUAAAACUCUGUUGUUAGAGAAGAACAAGGAUGAGAGUGGAAAGUUCAUCCCUUGACGGUAUCUAACCAGAAAGCCACGGCUAACUACGUG
rnacentral:rRNA from 1 species